rnacentral:rRNA from 1 species
UGAACGCUGGCGGAAUGCUUUACACAUGCAAGUCGAACGGUAGAGGGGGCAACCCCUCGAGAGUGGCGAACGGGUGAGUAAUAUAUCGGAACGUGCCCAGUCGUGGGGGAUAACGUAGCGAAAGUUACGCUAAUACCGCAUACGAUCUACGGAUGAAAGCGGGGGAUCGCAAGACCUCGCGCGAUUGGAGCGGCCGAUAUCAGAUUAGGUAGUUGGUGGGGUAAAGGCUCACCAAGCCAACGAUCUGUAGCUGGUCUGAGAGGACGACCAGCCACACUGGAACUGAGACACGGUCCAGACUCCUACGGGAGGCAGCAGUGGGGAAUUUUGGACAAUGGACGCAAGUCUGAUCCAGCCAUUCCGCGUGCAGGAUGAAGGCCCUCGGGUUGUAAACUGCUUUUGUACGGAACGAAAAGGUUUCUAUUAAUACUAGGAGCUCAUGACGGUACCGUAAGAAUAAGCACCGGCUAACUACGUGCCAGCAGCCGCGGUAAU